rnacentral:misc_RNA from 1 species
GGAAAUUACAGUAAUCAUUAAGUUGAUAGUGAGGUGUUUUAAUGGCUGCCUUGUGUUUAGGGAUGUAAAUGAGUGGAGCUCUGGUCAACUCCAGCUUGGCUGUUUAUGAAAUGAGCCUAAGUUUAGUCUUGGGCUUGGCUUAUUUGUAGAAUGAGAGGAAUACUGGCUCGCUUGGCUCAUCACCUGGCUCACUAGCCUAGAUGAGCCAAGCUUGAUCUAGCUUAGGCCU